rnacentral:lncRNA from 1 species
GUCCUCGAGUAGGGAAAUAAAAACUGAGUCCUCUGAGAGCCGAGGCCUGGGGCCGUCACAGGGACAUUUCUGCCACCUUUGAUGGGUCAAGUAGACAGCCAGAUUCCAGGGAAGGAAAACUAAGUUCUACGCCGCAGUGAGCAACUCCAUCCAAUAUAUAUCAUCUUAAGUCAACGAAUAUUAAAUCCAGUUGAAAUCAAUUGAGCCAUAAGUAUGGAUAGUGACCAUGCACCAGGAACACAGCAUUGUUUUGGGUACUUUGCUUCAUUUGCAUUCCUAAAAAUGUUUCAGAACCACCAUCAAUUUCCACAAAAACGUCCACAGCCUCUUGCAGAUGAUUACCCUGUGACAGCAGUGAGUCGUGGAAUCCACCAACGUGGCUUCUCCAUUUAUUCAGAUCUUUAACUUAUGUCAGCAAUGUUGUAUAGUUGUUAGUAUACAAAUAUUGCAACUACUUCUGCCAUAUUCACUCCUAAGCAUUUUAUCUUUUUUGGUGGUUUUGUGAAUGGUGUUGCCUUCUUAUCUUAAUUUUUAGAUUUUUAUUGAUAGUGUAUGAAUACUGUUGUGGUCGGGGCUUGCAAGAGAACAGACUUAAAACAGGACACAUAAUUUAUAGUAUUAUUUUAUAAUAGUCACCCAAAAAGUCAAAUGCAGAGGAGUGCAAGAGAUCUAACGGUCCACUGGAGACUGAGAGAAUCCAGCCGAGGGCCUAGAUCCCAUGGCAAUGUCCUGCACAAGUCCAGUCAGAGACCUAAGCCCACGGCAAUGUCUCAUGCAAAUCUGUAUCAAGGACCUGCACCAGGAAGGGCCGAGGGCCACUGGUGGAAGCUAGUGUGUUGGGAGGGUGAAGGAUCUGUGCCACCAGGCUGGGCAUCUGCACUGGAGCCAGGAAGUGAUGCUCAAGGUGAGAACCAGAGCCCCCUGAUGAGAUCGGCACCCAGUUCCCAGUGACAGCGAGGACCUAGCUCCUCCAGCGGUGAGAGAACAGCCAAGUUCACAUGAAGAAAACUACCCGCAGCAAGCUUCUCCAAGAAAAUCAACAGCCAAAGAUCUUCCCCUUCAGUUUUCUUUCUAUGCCAGUGGCAUCAAUCCUCAGGUGAAUCUUCCAUGCCCAAACCAUGCUGAUUCAGUUCAGUUGGACUUUCCAAGUUGACCAAUAGUUAAUCCACCACAAAUACCAUUGGUUUUCAUUCCAUUAGCCUUGUAUCUUGCAGUCUUCCUCAACAUUUUUGCUAGUCUAGAUUGUGUGUGUGUAUUUUGGCAUUUUCUACAUAAAGUGCAUGUUAUGUGUGAAUAUGAUAGUUUAAUACUUUUUCUUUUCAAAUCUAGGUCUCUUUAAUUCCUUAUCAUCCUCAUCACUACCCUCCUCCUCCUUAUCUACAUUUAGAACUUCCCAUACAAUGUUGAUAGGAGCACCAAGAGCAGGCUUUCUUGCCUUAUCCCCAAUCUUUGGAAGAAAGCAUCUGGUUUUUAGCAAUAAUGAUGAUGUUAGCUGUCAGAUUUUUGUACAUUCCCUUUAUCAGGUAUCAUAUGCAACUCUAAACUUAAAGUGCUUCAUCACUGAGAUUUAUGGAAAGAACUCAGACAAGUAUGGGGUUCUGAUACCCUUGCAUUAAACUGGGAAAUCAAGCAACCCUCUGUGAUCCACCAACAAAUGAGAAGCAGAUCUGUAAUAACCUGGAACCUGGAGACGGGGAGCUUUGUCAUUGACACCAGGGCACUGUCCUUGAGCCCCUCUGGAAGGAGCCACACAUAGUAGUUUUUCAUCACAUGCACUGCAUCCAGACUUCAGGGCAUCCGGUGUUGGACUCUCAUCUGUCAGCCUAAGCGAGACUGCAGACUUUUGGGACUGUGGCUCCCUGGGAGCACGGGAAGGUGACCAAGGAGGUGGCUCACAGCACUGAUGGCGUCGCACGCAGAAGUGGACAGCCCGCCCAAGACGACUGUUCCGAGGUUACGGCAUCUGCUCCUCCAUACUUUUCUCCCUGUACUUCUUUGCUCUUCAUGGCAAGAUAGUUUAAUAACCAAGAUUUUAUACUCACUGGUCGCUUAGGGAACUUUCCUAAAUGUUGAGUGUGUCCUGUUAAAUCUAAAUUGUUUUGUGAUCUAACAGAACUUCCAGCUCACCUGGAAGAAAAUUUCACUGAUAUCCUAAGUGUGGUUAUUUGUGCAGCUACAUAUCUGAUCCUUUCUAUCAGUUUAGGUUUUUAGAUUAUCAUAUUAGAUUUCUUGUUUAAAUCUGACAAGUCUGCAAAACCUAGAGUUAGGGUUUUACAGCUAAAUUAUAUCAGAAAUUGAAUAAGAAAACCAAAGGGAGAUAUUUUAGAAGUUUGUAGGAAAAUUUGUUUCUCUAAUAUAAUUG